rnacentral:rRNA from 1 species
UACGUAUGAUGCAAGUGUUAUCCGGAUUUACUGGGUGUAAAGGGAGCGCAGGCGGCACGGCAAGCCUGAUGUGAAAGCCCGCGGCCCAACCGCGGGACUGCAUUGGGAACUACCGGGCUGGAGUGCCGGAGAGGUAGGCGGAAUUCCUAGUGUAGCGGUGAAAUGCGUAGAUAUUAGGAGGAACACCAGUGGCGAAGGCGGCCUACUGGACGGUGACUGACGCUGAGGCUCGAAAGCGUGGGGAGCAAACAGG